UACGAAGGGGGCUAGCGUUGAUUCGGAAUCACUGGGCGUAAAGGGCGCGUAGGCGGCUUUAUAAGUCGGGGGUGAAAGCCUGUGGCUCAACCACAGAAUUGCCUUCGAUACUGUAGAGCUUGAGACCGGAAGAGGUAAGUGGAACUGCGAGUGUAGAGGUGAAAUUCGUAGAUAUUCGCAAGAACACCAGUGGCGAAGGCGGCUUACUGGUCCGGUUCUGACGCUGAGGCGCGAAAGCGUGGGGAGCAAACAGG
rnacentral:rRNA from 1 species